UACGUAGGGGGCAAGCGUUGUCCGGAAUCAUUGGGCGUAAAGAGCGUGUAGGCGGCUUGGUAAGUCCGCUGUGAAAGUCCAGGGCUCAACCCUGGAAAGCCGGUGGAAACUGUCAAGCUUGAGUCCGGAAGAGGCGAGUGGAAUUCCCGGUGUAGCGGUGAAAUGCGCAGAUAUCGGGAAGAACACCCGUGGCGAAGGCGGCUCUCUGGGACGGUACUGACGCUGAGACGCGAAAGCGUGGGGAGCGAACAGG
rnacentral:rRNA from 1 species